CCUACGGGAGGCAGCAGUGAGGAAUAUUGGUCAAUGGGCGGGAGCCUGAACCAGCCAAGCCGCGUGAGGGAAGAAGGUACAGCGUAUCGUAAACCUCUUUUGUCAGGGAACAAAGGCGGGGACUAGUCCCCGGAUGAGGGUACCUGAAGAAAAAGCAUCGGCUAACUCCGUGCCAGCAGCCGCGGUAAUACGGAGGAUGCGAGCGUUAUCCGGAUUUAUUGGGUUUAAAGGGUGCGCAGGCGGCCUGUUAAGUCAGCGGGAAAAGCCCGGGGCUCAACCCCGGCGAGCCGUUGAAACUGGCGGGCUGGAGUUGGAGAGAAGUACGCGGAAUGCGCGGUGUAGCGGUGAAAUGCAUAGAGAUCGCGCAGAACCCCGAUUGCGAAGGCAGCGUACCGGCUCCACACUGACGCUGAGGCACGAAAGCGUGGGUAUCGAACAGGAUUAGAUACCCCUGUAGGC
rnacentral:rRNA from 1 species